rnacentral:rRNA from 1 species
ACGGGUGAGUAACGCGUGGGAACGUGCCUUCCGGUUCGGAAUAACCCUGGGAAACUAGGGCUAAUACCGGAUACGCCCUUAUGGGGAAAGGUUUACUGCCGGAAGAUCGGCCCGCGUCUGAUUAGCUAGUUGGUGGGGUAACGGCCUACCAAGGCGACGAUCAGUAGCUGGUCUGAGAGGAUGAUCAGCCGCACUGGGACUGAGACACGGCCCAGACUCCUACGGGAGGCAGCAGUGGGGAAUAUUGGACAAUGGGCGCAAGCCUGAUCCAGCCAUGCCGCGUGAGUGAUGAAGGCCUUAGGGUUGUAAAGCUCUUUUAUCCGGGACGAUAAUGACGGUGCCGGAGGAAUAAGCCCCGGCUAACCUCGUGCCAGCAGCCGCGGUAAUACGAAGGGGGCUAGCGUUGCUCGGAAUCACUGGGCGUAAAGGGCGCGUAGGCGGCGUUUUAAGUCGGGGGUGAAAGCCUGUGGCUCAACCACAGAAUGGCCUUCGAUACUGGGACGCUUGAGUAUGGUAGAGGUUGGUGGAACUGCGAGUGUAGAGGUGAAAUUCGUAGA